rnacentral:rRNA from 1 species
UACGUAGGGAGCAAGCGUUGUUCGGAUUUACUGGGCGUAAAGCGCACGUAGGCGGACUCUUAAGUCGGGGGGUGAAAGCCCAGGGCUCAACCCUGGAAUUGCCUUCGAUACUGGGAGUCUUGAGUAUGGCAGAGGUUGGUGGAACUGCGAGUGUAGAGGUGAAAAUUCGUAGAUAUUCGCAAGAACACCAGUGGCGAAGGCGGCCAACUGGGCCAUUACUGACGCUGAGGUGCGAAAAGCGUGGGGGAGCAAACAGGG